AGAGUUUGAUCCUGGCUCAGGAUGAACGCUAGCGACAGGCCUAACACAUGCAAGUCGAGGGGCAGCAUUUUUGAAGCUUGCUUCAAAAGAUGGCGACCGGCGCACGGGUGAGUAACGCGUAUGGAACCAACCCGCAACAGGGGGGAUAACCCGGAGAAAUCCGGACUAAUACCGCAUGGUACUCUUUACACAGAAGUGUGAAGAUUUAAAGAUAGCGAAUCGGUUGCGGACGGUCAUGCGUUCCAUUAGCUAGUUGGCGGGGUAACGGCCACCAAGGCGACGAUGGAUAGGGGUUCUGGAGAGGGAAGGUCCCCCANACCUGGUACUGGAGACACGGACCAGACUCCUACGGGAGGCA
rnacentral:rRNA from 1 species